GGCUUAAAAGUUUUAGAGAAUAGUUUAUUGUAGCUAAACAGGGGGGAGGAGCCA
rnacentral:tRNA from 1 species